GACGAACGCUGGCGGCGUGCCUAAUACAUGCAAGUAGAACGCUGAAGAGAGGAGCUUGCUCUUCUUGGAUGAGUUGCGAACGGGUGAGUAACGCGUAGGUAACCUGCCUUGUAGCGGGGGAUAACUAUUGGAAACGAUAGCUAAUACCGCAUAACAAUGGAUGACACAUGUCAUUUAUUUGAAAGUGGCAAUUGCUCCACUACAAGAUGGACCUGCGUUGUAUUAGCUAGUAGGUGAGGUAAUGGCUCACCUAGUCGACGAUACAUAGCCGACCUGAGAGGGGGAGCGGCCCAACUGGGAGUGAGACACGGCCCAGACCCCUACGGGAGGCAGCAGUAGGGAAUCUUCGGCAAUGGGGGCAACCCUGACCGAGCAACGCCGCGUGAGUGAAGAAGGUUUUCGGAUCGGAAAGCUCGGUUGUAAGUCAAGAACGGGUGUGAGAGUGGAAAGUUCACACUGUGACGGUAGCUUACCAGAAAGGGACGGCUAACUACGUG
rnacentral:rRNA from 1 species